UACGUAGGGGGCUAGCGUUGUCCGGAAUCAUUGGGCGUAAAGCGCGUGUAGGCGGUUCGGUAAGUCCGCUGUGAAAGUCGAGGGCUCAACCCUCGAAUGCCGGUGGAUACUGUCGGGCUAGAGUACGGAAGAGGCGAGUGGAAUUCCUGGUGUAGCGGUGAAAUGCGCAGAUAUCAGGAGGAACACCAAUUGCGAAGGCAGCUCGCUGGGACGUUACUGACGCUGAGACGCGAAAGCGUGGGGAGCAAACAGG
rnacentral:rRNA from 1 species